rnacentral:rRNA from 1 species
GGGUGCGAUCAUACCAGCACUAAUGCACUAGAUCCCAUCAGAACUCCGAAGUUAAGCGUGCUAGGGCGAGAGUAGUACUAGGAUGGGUGAACCCCUGCGAAGUCCUCGUGUUGCAGCCGUUU